UCAACAGGUGUCAGAAAAAAGAAAGUAAAAUUUUACAGUCUUCCUGAAACAAACACUAACAAGGUCAUCUUGAUGCUAUUUCAACUAAGAUUGAAACACAUCUGGUAUACAAGGGACAACAGUUCUGUUUCUCCCGAACUCCCCAGGGUUUUCAUAACUCACCAGCUGUUUGUCAUAUGCAUGUGAAUAAGAUGUGGGAUAAGAUGUCCAGUAAGGAUAACAUCAUCAUACAGAUCAGAUGAUAGAGGAUGCUGUUCUAGUCAUCUUGGAUCUUCUGGGUGUUUCUGGCUAUUGGAUUCUGCUGUGUUGGUGUGAAUUUGGACGAAAUACCAGCGAUCCGAUGGGCCAAAUCUUACCCCCAUAAUUAUGCUUUUGCCAAUAAUAUUGAGGAAUGCGUUUUUACAAUCUCAAAGGUAGAGAAUAAACAGAGGACAGUAAAAGUAGUAAUGGGACCUGUCCGAAUUAUAGAAUUCAUUACACAAAAUCAUAUGGAUAGAAUGCUUAUCACUGAUGAUGCCCAUAAAUAGGAUAUUCUAUUUGAUGAUCAAGGAGAAGGAAAUUUGAUGCACCAAAGAGCGGGUGGAAAAUCACCACAGCCCUCAGAAUGUACAUGGAAAUUUCAGGAAGGGACAUGCACAAUAUGUGGUAGAGUAGUAAGCAUUGGACUGUGGCAGUGUGCACUAA